rnacentral:rRNA from 1 species
GUGACGUUGUGCUAUAAUGUACAGGGCGCGACUCCUCACCAUAAAGUAAUUCCAGCUCCAAUAGCGAAUAUUAAAAUUGUUGCAGUUAAAAAGCUCGUAGUUGAAUUUCUGCUGCAUUGCUUUUGCUCCUUUACGAGUCUUUGCAUUGUGGCUUAUUUCGGACUUUGUUUUACAAUGUCCGGAUGUUUACUUUGAGAAAAUUAGAGUGCUCAAAGCAGGCUUUCGCCUUGAAUAGUUUAGCAUGGAAUAAUAAAGUAGGACUUUGGUUCUAUUUUGUUGGUUUUAGGUACCAAAGUAAUGGUUAAUAGGAACAGUUGGGGGCAUUCGUAUUUAACUGUCAGAGGUGAAAUUCUUAGAUUUGUUAAAGACGAACUACUGCGAAAGCAUUUGCCAAGGAUGUUUUCAUUAAUCAAGAACGAAAGUUAGGGGAUCGAAGACGAUCAGAUACCGUCGUAGUCCUACCC